GCCGGGAUGGCGGAACUGGCAGACGCGAAGGUCUCAAAAACCUUUGGGCGGCAACGCCCGUGCGGGUUCGACUCCCGCUCCCGGCACCA
rnacentral:tRNA from 1 species